AUACCGAAUGAUAAAGUGUGGCGCAUGCCACGCUUUUGAAAGAUGGUUUCGGCUAUCGCUUACAGAUGGGCCCGCGGUGCAUUAGCUAGUUGGUAGGGUAAUGGCCUACCAAGGCAACGAUGCAUAGCCGACCUGAGAGGGUGAUCGGCCACACUGGGACUGAGACACGGCCCAGACUCCUACGGGAGGCAGCAGUAGGGAAUCUUCCGCAAUGGACGAAAGUCUGACGGAGCAACGCCGCGUGUAUGAAGAAGGUUUUCGGAUCGUAAAGUACUGUUGUUAGAGAAGAACAAGGAUAAGAGUAACUGCUUGUCCCUUGACGGUAUCUAACCAGAAAGCCACGGCUAACUACGUGCCAGCAGCCGCGGUAAUACGUAGGUGGCAAGCGUUGUCCGGAUUUAUUGGGCGUAAAGCGCGCGCAGGCGGUCUUUUAAGUCUGAUGUGAAAGCCCCCGGCUUAACCGGGGAGGGUCAUUGGAAACUGGAAGACUGGAGUGCAGAAGAGGAGAGUGGAAUUCCACGUGUAGCGGUGAAAUGCGUAGAUAUGUGGAG
rnacentral:rRNA from 1 species